AUCGGGGGUGGGAUGGGAGUGGGAUGUAGUGAGUUCCAGGUCCUGGGCUACCUAUCCCUGUCUGUGUAAAACGAAACACAGUAUCUAAAGGACUAAUAGCAAAUGAGCCACAAACCGGUAGGCAAGUAACAAAUACAAAUGAACACCAACUGAGGUAGACAGUUUGAAGUUACUGUGUUUUUUUUUUUUUUGGAGGGGGGGGGAGAGUGGGGAAAGGGUGUCCUGAUGUAGCCCCUGUUGGUAUUCAGGCAUUCUGCUGGCCUGCCCCCAGGACCCUAGCAACCACUUAGACCUGCCUCCACCGUGUGUGAUAGGUGUGUGCUGCGUCUAAAGAGACGCCCCCAAGCGUCCCCCCCCUCCCCCCCCCCGCCACCCAGCAGCUGUCUAUUGUCAGCGUCCGGUCCCCUUCUCUCUGCCCCAUGGCUUUGCUCCUGUCUGUCUGACUGGCUCCAUGCCUACUUGUCUGCCUCUAUUCCUUUCCUAGGCCCUCACUCCUCUUCUCCCAAUAAACCACUUUUACUUCAGGUCUUGUUUGCAUGACGUAAUUUCUCAAGGUUGUACCUUGGCACGGGCCUUGCAGUAGGAUCUUCUCUGUCUCAGCCUCUUUUAUAGUAAAAUAUAAUCUUCCAAGGUGAGGUGUGGUGACUUAGACUUUAAUUCCAGCACUCUGGCAGCAGAGACAGUAGUUCUCUGUGAGUCUGAGGCUAGUCUGAUCUACAUAGUGAGUUCCAGGCUAGCCAGAGCAACAGUACAACACUGUCUCAAACAUUCUCCACGAUGUGACCAUUUUGGUUACAGGGCUUCUGCACUUCUUUCUAAUAUCUACAGACUAAGAAGCCUUCGACUGGGUGGCUUAGCCUGCCCCUAACCGAGCACAUUUAGGAAUCCUUCAGGAAUUAUAUUUGAAAAUCGGCCUCAGAAAGACACAAGAAAAGCUGGCGUACAAGACAUGAGCUGCCAAGCUAGGUUGGAGAGGGAAUGGAUUGAAAAGACAAGGAAAACGUGUUCAGCUACUUGCCUGGUUGCUGACAGAAUACAAAGAACUUUAAAAAGAAGGGUUCCUUCUGGUCGACAGUCUGAGCGUGCAGCCCAGCUCGGUGGGGAGGGCUGGUGCAGAAGCUCGAGCAGUUGGUCACACUGCAUCAGCAAGUGGGGAUGAACGCCGAACAGGGCUCGCUUUCUCCUUCUCAUCAGUGCAGACCCCCACCCCAUAGAACCAUGCCACCAACAGUCAGGGUGCCCCCCACCCCCACCCCCGCCUCACCUCUCACAGGCACACGCAGAGGCUUGUCUCCUGAGUGAGUUGAAAUCCGACCAGGCUGACUAGCAAGAUUAACCAUCAUAGAGGGAUCAGUAAGGACCCUGAAGCUGGGGGCUGGAUAAAUAGCUCAGUGUUAAGAGCUCUUGCAGAGGACCUGGGUUCAAUUCCCAGCACCUACAUGGCAGCUCACAACCGUCUGUAACUCUGUGAGGCAUUGGACAUACAUUGUUCACACACAUACAUGCAGGCAAAACAGCCAAACAUAGAAAGUUUUUUUUUUAAAAAAUAGUAAAACAAAAUCCCUGAAAUCAGGUAGCAGCUGGACUUACAAGAAAAGGAUGAAGUCUGGAUUUUCCUUUUUAUUGUCAGUCCCUUGAGGGAGAACAGAACAUUAAAGUACUGAGUACGAAUGACUCGUUCCUAACUUACUCCUCAUGACGCAAGAACUAAUAAGAAACAGUAGUUUAUAAAUGACACACCCACCGGGGGUGGUGGCGCUCGCCUUUAAUCCCAGCACUCGGGAGGCAGAGACAGGCGGAUUUCUGAGUUCGAGGCCAGUCUGGUCUACAAAGUGAGUUCCAGGACAGCCAGGGCUACACAGAGAAACUCUGUCUCAGAAAACCAAAAAUAAAAAUAAAAAAUGAAAAAACUGACGCAUCCAAAAUCCAAGCUGAAACUACUUUCUGUUCUUUCCUUUCUAUUGCAACACUUGGUUCUGCAGUGGAGGUUUUAGGUUAAAGCGAUACUACAAUUACAUCCUUUUGAAAAAUAUUUAUUGAGUAUAAAUAAAUGUCCUAUACAUUAAAUAUCAAGAAAUAUUCAUUAUUCAUUACAAGUCAGGCUAGUAUACUGAGGGAACCAUGGAAUCAAAAUAGUAACUCAUGAUACCGUAGAGACAGUUCAUUCCAACAGUAGAUCGUGUAAUGACUUGCUCACAUGACACAACAAAAUCUAUCAAAAGAGGCCAUGACUUAAACCCAUCUACAAUACCACAACAGACAAGGGUUCUGAAGCAUACUAUCAGCAGUCCCAAUCUCAUCAAUCACUUUUAUCUUAUCAAUGUAUCAGCACACUGAGACUGUACUUACACUACCAUAGAAUUCAGAGUCUCAUCUCCUUGGUUUAAUUUCAGAUUAUUGUUAAUGAAUGAAAACAAGUCAUACAAAGUCAAGGGUACUUUUCAAUUAGUCUUU